GAGCAGGUCUCGCAUUGUAGGUUGAUGAAGCGUUUCCUAGUGUUAAACCUUUCCAAUUAAAGUUCCUUGGAACCGGACGUCAAAGAGGGUGAUAACCCCGUGGUUAAUUGAACGACACACCAGUUUAACACGCCUAUGGAGCGUUUUCUUAGAGUCGGAAUGUUUGGGAUUGCAUUCCAAAGCGGGUGGUAAACUCCAUCUAAGGCUAAAUACUGGCGAGAGACCGAUAGCGAACAAGUACCGUGAGGGAAAGUUGAAAAGCACUCUGGAGAGAGAGUCAAACAGUACGUGAAAUUGCUAGCAGGGAAACGUUGGGCACCAGUACACGGCAAUCAAUGUUAAUGAUCAGUCGGCCUAUUGGUGAAUUGUAAUGCGGUGUUUACACUUUGGAGAUUGUCCUAUUAGCGGCGACUCACGUAUUACACUUUUGCUAAUAGGCCGGUGCACUCUUUAACAGCCGGGUCAACAUCGGUUAAUCGCGACGCCCGACAAGUCUGUAGACAAGGUAGCAUUAGUGGGUUCGCCUGCUUUUGAACUUAUAGGUCUAUAGUACGAGGGUGUUAUUGACCGAGGAUAUGCGAUUCGCGCGUUUCGGCGCAGGGCGUAUCGGUCGGGUUAAGGCCGCCCGUGGUGCUAAGCAGCAUGCUGAUUAGUAUCCAUUCUAUUAUACUUUGUAUAAUAGCGGUGGUCGCUCGGCCGGUAC
rnacentral:rRNA from 1 species